rnacentral:rRNA from 1 species
UACGAAGGGGGCUAGCGUUGCUCGGAAUCACUGGGCGUAAAGCGCACGUAGGCGGACUCUUAAGUCGGUGGUGAAAUCCUGGAGCUCAACUCCAGAACUGCCUUCGAUACUGAGAGUCUCGAGUCCGAGAGAGGUGAGUGGAACUGCGAGUGUAGAGGUGAAAUUCGUAGAUAUUCGCAAGAACACCAGUGGCGAAGGCGGCUCACUGGCCCGGUACUGACGCUGAGGCACGAAAGCGUGGGGAGCAAACAGG